rnacentral:rRNA from 1 species
CAGUCGCCACGGUAAUACGUAGGGUGCAAGCGUUAAUCGGAAUUACUGGGCGUAAAGCGUGCGCAGGCGGUUUUGUAAGACAGAGGUGAAAUCCCCGGGCUCAACCUGGGAACUGCCUUUGUGACUGCAAGGCUAGAGUACGGCAGAGGGGGAUGGAAUUCCGCGUGUAGCAGUGAAAUGCGUAGAUAUGCGGAGGAACACCGAUGGCGAAGGCAAUCCCCUGGGCCUGUACUGACGCUCAUGCACGAAAGCGUGGGGAGCAAACAGGAUUAGAUACCCCUGUAGUCCCUGUCUCUUAUAA